GCCAACGUACAAGCCGGCACCCAAGCCCACUCCUCCCACGUAUAAGCCCACACCCAAGCCCUCGCCGCCGACGUACCCGCCGAAGCCAACACCACCCACCUACAAGCCGGCGCCGAAGCCGACUCCCCCGACCUACAAGCCGGCGCCGAAGCCGACACCGCCCACCUACAAGCCCGCGCCGAAGCCGACGCCCCCGACCUACAAGCCGGACCCCAAGCCGACUCCCCCGACGUACAAGCCCGCGCCGAAGCCGGCCCCCAAGCCUACGCCCCCGAACUACAAGCCGGCGCCGAAGCCGACGCCGCCGUCGUACAAGCCGGCCCCGAAGCCCACUCCCCCGGCACCGAAGCCCACGCCGCCGACACCACCAGCCUACAAGCCGGCGCCGAAGCCGAGCCCUCCGACGCCCGCCCCGCCGG
rnacentral:lncRNA from 1 species